rnacentral:rRNA from 1 species
UCGGGAAUUUUGGGCAAUGGGCGAAAGCCUGACCCAGCAACGCCGCGUGAGGGAUGAAGUAUUUCGGUAUGUAAACCUCGAAAGAAUGGGAAGAAUAAAUGACGGUACCAUUUAUAAGCUCCGGCUAACUACGUGCCAGCAGCCGCGGUAAUACGUAGGGAGCAGGCGUUGUUCGGAUUUACUGGGCGUAAAGGGCGCGUAGGCGGCGCGGUAAGUCACUUGUGAAAUCUCUGAGCUUAACUCAGAAAGGCCAAGUGAUACUGCUGUGCUAGAGUGCGGAAGAGGCAACCGGAAUUCUUGGUGUCGCGGUAAAAUGCGUAGAUAUCGAGAGCAACACCUGAGGCGAAGGCGGGUUGCUGGGCCAACACUGAAGCUGAUGCGCGAAAGCCAGGGGAGCAAACG